GAUGAACGCUGGCGGCGUGCUUAACACAUGCAAGUCGAACGGAAAGGCCCAAGCUUGCUUGGGUACUCGAGUGGCGAACGGGUGAGUAACACGUGGGUGAUCUGCCCUGCACUUCGGGAUAAGCCUGGGAAACUGGGUCUAAUACCGGAUAGGACCACUUCUUGGAUGUUGUGGUGGAAAGUUUUUUCGGUGUGGGAUGAGCUCGCGGCCUAUCAGCUUGUUGGUGGGGUAAUGGCCUACCAAGGCGUCGACGGGUAGCCGGCCUGAGAGGGUGUACGGCCACAUUGGGACUGAGAUACGGCCCAGACUCCUACGGGAGGCAGCAGUGGGGAAUAUUGCACAAUGGGCGCAAGCCUGAUGCAGCGACGCCGCGUGGGGGAUGACGGCCUUCGGGUUGUAAACUCCUUUCGCUAGGGACGAAGCGUUUUGUGACGGUACCGGGAGAAGAAGCACCGGCUAACUACGU
rnacentral:rRNA from 1 species